rnacentral:rRNA from 1 species
GACGAACGCUGGCGGCGUGCUUAACACAUGCCAGUCGAACGGAAAGGCCCUGCUCUUGUGGGGUGCUCGAGUGGCGAACGGGUGAGUAACACGUGAGUAACCUGCCCUUGACUUUGGGAUAACUUCAGGAAACUGGGGCUAAUAACGGAUAGGAGCUCCUGCUGCAUGGUGGGGGUUGGAAAGUUUCGGCGGUUGGGGAUGGACUCGCGGCUUAGCAGCUUGUUGGUGGGGUAGGGGCUUACCAAGGCUUUGACGGGUAGCCGGCCUGGGAGGGUGAACGGCCACAUGGGGACUGAGGUACGGCCCAGACGCCUACGGGAGGCAGCAGUGGAGAAUAUUGCACAAUGGGCGGAAGCCAGAGGCAGCAACGCCGCGUGCGGGAUGACGGCCUUCGGGUUGUAAACCGCUUUCGCCUGUGACGAAGCGUGAGUGACGGUAAUGGGUAAAGAAGCACCGGCUAACUACGUG